UCCAUCUGUCGCCUUUUGCUCCUUCAAAAAUUGCUAAAGUUGAGCUGCCAUCUGAGCUCAAAGUCGGAUUCUCCCACUUGAGAAUCUCAUUUUGGAGAAUCACUAUGAUAACCUCGUCCAUCUUGAUGGUGCUCUUUCUUACUAAAAAAAUAGUCAUUAAAGACUCAUACGAAGAGGAAAGCGAUGCUAGCAAGACCAGCACCCUGGUCUUCUCUUCAACUUUCUCAUCAAUACUGAGG
rnacentral:lncRNA from 1 species